CACCCAUCGCUACUACCGAAUGGAUGGUUUAAUGAGGUCGUCGGAUCGGCCCUGAUGGAGCGUCGAGAAGGUGGUUGAACUUGACUAUCUAGAGGAAGUAAAAGUCGUAACAA
rnacentral:ncRNA from 1 species